ACUCAAAUGAAUUGACGGGGGAGCGCACAACCGGUGGAGCAUGUGGUUUAAUUCGAUACAAAGCGAAAGACCUCACCCGGACUUGACAUGUAGCUGCACGGCUUAGGAAACUAGGCCUUCUUCGAGAGUGCUACACAGGUGAUGCAUGGCUGUCGUCAGCUCGUGUCGUGAGACGUCCGCUUAAGUGCGGUAACGAGCGCAACCCCUAUCGCCAGUUACAAGUGUCUGGCGAAACUGCUCCCGCUCUGCGGGGGAGGAAGGAGGGGACGACGUCAAGUCAGCAUGUCCCUUACGUCCGGGGCCACACACAUCCUACAAUGGGGUAGACAACGGGUCGCGACGCCGUGAGGCUGAGCCAAUCCUUAUAAACUACCCCUCAGUUCAGAUUGCAGGCUGCAACCCGCCUGCAUGAAGCCGGAAUCGGUAGUAAUCGCAAAUCAGCAGGUUGCGGUGAAUACGUUCUCGCUCCUUGUACACACCGCCCGU
rnacentral:rRNA from 1 species